AGACUGCAGGCUGCAACUCGCCUGCACGAAGUCGGAAUUGCUAGUAAUCGUAGGUCAGCAUACUACGGUGAAUACGUUCCCGGGCCUUGUACACACCGCCCGUCAAACCAUGAGAGUUGGCAACACCCGAAGUCGGUAGUCUAACCGCAAGGAGGACGCCGCCGAAGGUGGGGUGGAUGAUUAGGGUUAAGUCGUAACAAGGUAAC
rnacentral:rRNA from 1 species